rnacentral:rRNA from 1 species
ACGCCUAAUACAUGCAAGUCGAACGAAGUAGCAAUACUUAGUGGCAAACGGGUGAGUAUAAUGUAGGUAUCUGCCUUUUGGUUUGGAAUAACACGAGGAAACUUGUGCUAAUACCGGAUAAGCCUUUACAGGGAAAGUUUUAACGCCGAAAGAUGAGCCUGCACUUGAUUAGCUAGUUGGUAGGGUAAUGGCCUACCAAGGCAACGAUCAAUAGCUGAUCUGAGAGGAUGAUCAGCCACAUUGGGACUGAGACACGGCCCAGACUCCUACGGGAGGCAGCAGUAGGGAAUCUUGCACAAUGGGGGAAACCCUGAUGCAGCGAUGCCGCGUGAGUGAAGAAGGCCUUUGGGUUGUAAAGCUCUUUCGUCGGGGAAGAAAAUGACUGUACCCGAAUAAGAAGGUCCGGCUAACUUCGUGCCAGCAGCCGCGGUAAUACGAAGGGACCUAGCGUAGUUCGGAAUUACUGGGCUUAAAGAGUUCGUAGGUGGUUAGAAAAGUUAGUGGUGAAAUCCCAAGGCUUAACCUUGGAACUGCCACUAAAACUUUUUAACUAGAGUAUGAUAGAGGUAAGCGGAAUUUCUAGUGUAGAGGUGAAAUUCGUAGAUAUUAGAAAGAACACCAAUUGCGAAGGCAGCUUUCUGGAUCAUUACUGACACUGAGGAGCGAAAGCAUGGGUAGCGAAGAGGAUUAGAUACCCUCGUAGUCCAUGCUGUAAACGAUGUGUGCUAGACGUUGGAAAUUUAUUUUCAGUGUCGCAGCAAAAGCGUUAAGCACACCGCCUGGGGAGUACGACCGCAA